rnacentral:rRNA from 1 species
GGCGCGAAACCUUCGCAAUGUGCGAAAGCACGACGAGGUUAUUCCGAGUGAUUUCCGCUGAGGAAAUCUUUUCUCAGAUCUAAAAAGUCUGGGGAAUAAGGGGAGGGCAAGUCUGGUGUCAGCCGCCGCGGUAAUACCAGCUCCUCGAGUGGUCAGGGCGUUUAUUGGGCCUAAAGCAUCCGUAGCCGGCUCAGUUGGUCUCCUGUUAAAUCCAGCGGCUCAACCGUUGGUCUGCAGGAGAUACCGCUGGGCUAGGAGGCGGGAGAGGCGGACGGUACUCCGAGGGUAGGGGUAAAAUCCUUUGAUCCCCGGAAGACCACCAGUGGCGAAGGCGGUCCGCCAGAACGCGCUCGACGGUGAGGGAUGAAAGCUGGGGGAGCGAACCGGAUUAGAUACCCGGGUAGUCCCAGCCGUAAACGAUGCGAGCUAGGUGACACAACGCCUUCGGGGCGUUGUGCUGCCCGCAGGGAAGCCGUUAAGCUCGCCGCCUGGGGAGUACGGACGCAAGUCUGAAACUUAAAGGAAUUGGCGGGGGAGCACCACAAGGGGUGAAGCCUGCGGUUCAAUUGGAGUCAACGCCGGGAAUCUUACCGGGAGCGACAGCAGAUUGAAGGUCAAGCUGAGACUUUACCAGACGAGCUGAGAGGAGGUGCAUGGCCGUCGCCAGCUCGUGUCGUGCGUCGUCCCUGUUAAGUCAUGGCGACGAGCGAGACCCCUACUUCUAAUUGCUUUAGCAGACA